ACAAUCAGUGCUUGCAAGCAAGGCACGCGAGACAGAAUGUUAAAACACAUGGAACGACAACUAAUUAACGUUCGGGAAUACUCGCUUAACAUACGCUGUUGUCUCA